rnacentral:rRNA from 1 species
AUACGGAGGAUGCAAGCGUUAUCCGGAUUUAUUGGGUUUAAAGGGUGCGUAGGCGGAUGAUUAAGCGUGAGGUGAAAUGCCACUGCUCAACAGUGGAACUGCCUCGCGAACUGGUUGUCUUGAAUGCUCCUGCCGUGGGAGGAAUGUGUGGUGUAGCGGUGAAAUGCAUAGAGAUCACACAGAACACCGAUUGCGAAGGCAUCUCACGAAGGGUUGAUUGACGCUGAGGCACGAAAGCGUGGGGAUCAAACAGGAUUAGAUACCCUGGUAGUCCACGCAGUAAACGAUGAUGGCUAACCGCUGGGCUUAUCAGUUCAGUGGCCAAGCGAAAGCGAUAAGCAAUCCACCUGGGGAGUACGACCGCAAGGUUGAAACUCAAAUGAAUUGACGGGG